rnacentral:lncRNA from 1 species
CUGUAUGCUAUCUCCCUGACAAGCUCACAAAAGAAGCCUAAGGAACCAGCCAGCCAAGCAACAAGCCAGCCAAACUGAUAAGGGGCUGGAUUGGGAUGUCCUAGUGUGGAAGCAGCGUCCAUGGACAGAGCUGAGAUGGCUCCAACCCAAUGUACCUUAGCUAACAGGACUGGCCACGGGACCGAGGACUAUCACAAACUGAGGAUCAUCUCCUGUUGGGAGGCAUCAGCGUGGUGAUGGUCAUAGCUUUGCUCAGACCCAAUGCACUGAGGAUGAUUUCCAACACUGAUUAAGGCCUUUUUGCUGCCAUAUCAGCCAGAAAAUCCCUCCCAGGGGCAGAGUUGUGCCACAGCCACCUUCCUCCAAGGGCAUGGAGGAUGUUAACAGAAAUGAGGAGUGACCUACAAAGCCCAGCACCGUGAUGGAAGGACUUGGUGAUGUCUUCAGAUGUGCAAGUGAGGACAGCAGGUGGGAGCUUUCUAAGCCAGACAAAGGAGACCUGACAAGAAACUGCAGUGAAAGGACAAACCCAAGGCAAAGGAAUGUCCGGUCACCUCCUUCCCUGGAGCAGGCAGCUGAGAUCUGCAUAGACAGGAAGCAUUUUGCAAGACUCAACACCUGGAGCAGUGCUAACCAGGUCUCACUGCCUCAGGUAGAACUCCAUUUGCAGAGCAUUCCU